rnacentral:rRNA from 1 species
GACGAACGCUGGCGGCGUGCUUAACACAUGCAAGUCGAACGGACAGGUCCUGCUUUUGCGGGUCGCUCGAGUGGCGAACGGGUGAGUAACACGUGUGUAUCCUGCCCUUGACUUUGGGAGAUCUUCAGGAAACUGGGGCUAAUAUCGCAUAGGAUCUCUUGCUGCAUGUUGUGGGUUGGAAAGUUUCGGCGGUAGGGGCUGGACUCGCUGCUUAUCCGCUUGUUGGUGGGGUAGUGGCUUACCAAGGCUUUGACGGGUAGCCGGCCUGAGAGGGGGACCGGGCACAAUGGGACUGAGGUACGGACCAGAAUCCUACGGGAGGCAGCAGUGGGGAGUAUUGCGCAAUAGGCGGAAGCCAGAUGCGACAACGCCGCGUGCGGGAUGACGGCCUUCGGGUUGUAAACCGCUUUCGACUGUGACGAAGCGUGAGUGACGGUAAUGGGUAAAGAAGCACCGGCUAACUACGUG